rnacentral:rRNA from 1 species
UACGAAGGGGGCUAGCGUUGCUCGGAAUUACUGGGCGUAAAGCGCACGUAGGCGGCUUUCUAAGUCGGGGGUGAAAUCCUGGAGCUCAACUCCAGAACUGCCUUCGAUACUGGAGAGCUCGAGUCCGGGAGAGGUGAGUGGAACUGCGGAGUGUAGAGGUGAAAUUCGUAGAAUAUUCGCAAGAACACCAGUGGCGAAAGGCGGCCUCACUGGCCCGGGUGACUGAACG